AGUGAACGCUGGCGGCGUGCCUAACACAUGCAAGUCGAACGGAUCUUAAGGGCUCGCUCUUAAGGUUAGUGGCGCACGGGUGAGUAACACGUAGCUAACCUGCCCCAUAGUAAGGGACAACAGUUGGAAACGACUGCUAAUACCUUAUACUCCUUCUCUACCUAAGUAGAGUCGGGAAAGUUUUUUCGCUAUGGGAUGGGGCUGCGGCCUAUCAGCUUGUUGGGGAGGUAAUGGCUCACCAAGGCUAUGACGGGUAGCUGGUCUGAAAGGAUGAUCAGCCACAUUGGAACUGAGACACGGUCCAAACUCCUACGGGAGGCAGCAGUGGGGAAUUUUACACAAUGGGCGAAAGCCUGAUGUAGCAACGCCGCGUGGAGGAUGAAGGAUUUAGGUUCGUAAACUCCUUUUAUAAGGGAAGAAAUUUGACGGUACCUUAUGAAUAAGCACCGGCUAACUCCGUGCCAGCAGCCGCCGUAA
rnacentral:rRNA from 1 species